rnacentral:rRNA from 1 species
UACCAGACUCCUACGGGAGGCAGCAGUGGGGAAUAUUGCACAAUGGGGGAAACCCUGAUGCAGCGACGCCGCGUGAGUGAAGAAGUAAUUCGUUAUGUAAAGCUCUAUCAGCAGGGAAGAAAAUGACGGUACCUGAGUAAGAAGCCCCGGCUAACUACGUGCCAGCAGCCGCGGUAAUACGUAGGGGGCAAGCGUUAUCCGGAUUUACUGGGUGUAAAGGGAGCGUAGACGGCAGUGCAAGUCUGGAGUGAAAGCCCGGGGCCCAACCCCGGGACUGCUCUUGGAACUGCGUGGCUGGAGUGCAGGAGGGGCAGGCGGAAUUCCUGGUGUAGCGGUGAAAUGCGUAGAUAUCAGGAGGAACACCGGUGGCGAAGGCGGCCUGCUGGACUGCAACUGACGUUGAGGCCCGAAAGCGUGGGGAGCAAACAGGAUUAGAUACCCCCGUAAU